GAAUGAUUGGCGAGCUUGACUUGACUCCUCUGUAUGGCUCAGUGGGUGUCGCCUUCCUCAGUUCCCACUCCACGAGCAUCCCUCCUGAAGCUGUGCGUUGGGAGGAUGGACUUCCCCAGAGAUAAAGGAGAUAGAGGAGGUCCAUUCCUGAGCCAAUGGCACAUCAGCAGCCAUGUUCCCCUGCUGCUGCAAGAACUCCAAAGGAGCUUUCAAGGUCCAUUUGUAAGAGGCUAUAAGUGAGGUUUCUAAGACUCCAGAUGCAUUUAAAUGAGGUGCUGCGUGUGAACUGCUGUCU
rnacentral:snRNA from 1 species